GCUGGUGUGAUGGAAUUGGCAGACGUGGCAGACUCAAAAUCUGUUGCCAGUAAUGGCGUGUGGGUUCAAAUCCCACCACCAGCACCA
rnacentral:tRNA from 1 species